rnacentral:rRNA from 1 species
UCGAACGCGCAUCAUAUAUGUAACAAUACAGGGUAGUGGGCGCGUGGCGAACGGGUGCGUAACACGUGGAUAACCUUCCUUCAGGUGGGGAAUAACCCAGUGAAAAUUGGGCUAAUACCGCAUAACAUGACGAUGCCACAUGGUGUUGUCUUCAAAGGCGCAAGUCGCCAGAAGAGGGAUCCGCGGCCGAUUAGCUAGUUGGCGAGGUAAUGGCUCACCAAGGCAAUGAUCGGUAGCCGGACUGAGAGGUUGGCCGGCCACACUGGAACUGAGACACGGUCCAGACUCCUACGGGAGGCAGCAGUGGGGAAUCUUGCACAAUGGACGAAAGUCUGAUGCAGCAACGCCGCGUGGGGGAUGAAGCUUUUCGGAGUGUAAACCCCUUUCGACCCGGAAGAAAGCCCGCAAGGGUUUGACGGUACGGGUAUAAGAAGCCCCGGCUAACUACGUGCCAGCAGCCGCGGUAAAACGUAGGGGGCCAGCGUUGCUCGGAAUUACUGGGCGUAAAGGGUCCGUAGGCGGUGUGGCAAGUCGGUAGUGAAAUCUCUGGGCUUAACCCAGAGGCUGCUGCCGAAACUGCCGUGCUAGAGUGUGAGAGAGGCGAGUGGAAUUACGGGUGUAGCGGUGAAAUGCGUAGAUAUCCGUAGGAACAUCCGAGGCGAAGGCGGCUCGCUGGAUCACAACUGACGCUGAGGGACGAAAGCUAGGGGAGCAAACAGGAUUAGAUACCCUGGUAGUCCUAGCCCUAAACCAUCAGGACUUGGGGUGUGCCCUGUACGGGGCACGUCCCGUAGCUAACGCGUUAAGUCCUGCGCCUGGGGAGUACGGUCGCAAGGCUGAAACUCAAAGGAAUUGACGGGGGCCCGCACAAGCGGUGGAACAUGUGGUUCAAUUCGACGCAACGCGAAGAACCUUACCUGGGCUUGAACCGCACAGGAC